GCUGGGCAUGGUGGCGCAUGCCUGUAAUCCCAGCUACUCAGGAGGCUGAGGCAGGAGAAUUGCCUGAACCCAGGAGGCGGAGGUUGCAGUGAGCCACAAUUGUGCCAUUGCACUCCAGCCUGGGUAACAAGAGCAAAACUCUGUCUCAA
rnacentral:SRP_RNA from 1 species